rnacentral:rRNA from 1 species
AAAAACAUAGCUUCUGGAUUUUAUCAGAAGUUACGUCUGCCCGGUGAUUCGUGAAAUUUAACGGCCGCUUUUUGUGCUAAGGUAGCAUAAUAAUUUGCCUUUUUAUUGGAGGCUAAAUGAAUGGAUUAACGAAGCUUAACUGUCUCUAAUUAUUAAUUAAAAAUUGGUUUAAAGGUGAAAAAUCCUUUAUUUUAGUGAAGGACGAUAAGACCCUAUAGAGUUUAUAGUAGAACUAAAUUAGUAGGUUUAUUAUUUAAUUUUAUAACAAAUUAACUUAGUAUACUUUUAUUGGGGCAAUAAAAGAACAAAAAAACUCUUAAAUAAUUAAAUUUAUUAUAAUAAAUUUUUGAUCCUCAAAGAGAACUGAGAAAAACUACCUUAGGGAUAACAGCGUUAUUUUACCAGAGAGGUCUAAUUGAAGGUAGAGUUUGCGACCUCNAUGUUGGACUAAGGUAACUUUAAAGUGCANAAUCUUUNNNAUGUAGGCCUGUUCGGCCUUUAAAUCCUUACAUGAUCUGAGUUCAAACCGGAGA